rnacentral:rRNA from 1 species
GAUGAACGCUGGCGGCGUGCCUAAUACAUGCAAGUCGAGCGAACAGACGAGGAGCUUGCUCCUCUGACGUUAGCGGCGGACGGGUGAGUAACACGUGGAUAACCUACCUAUAAGACUGGGAUAACUUCGGGAAACCGGAGCUAAUACCGGAUAAUAUAUUGCACCGCAUGGUUCAAUAGUGAAAGACGGUUUUGCUGUCACUUAUAGAUGGAUCCGCGCCGCAUUAGCUAGUUGGUAAGGUAACGGCUUACCAAGGCAACGAUGCGUAGCCGACCUGAGAGGGUGAUCGGCCACACUGGAACUGAGACACGGUCCAGACUCCUAAGGGAGGCAGCAGUAGGGAAUCUUCCGCAAUGGGCGAAAGCUUGACGGAGCAACGCCGCGUGAGUGAUGAAGGUCUUCGGAUCGUAAAACUCUGUUAUUAGGGAAGAACAAAUGUGUAAGUAACUAUGCACGUCUUGACGGUACCUAAUCAGAAAGCAACGGCUAACUACGUG